CUCAGACUGUUUGUCUACAGAACAAAUUCUCAGAAAUUAAGAUGCCGCUCUCCUCAAUUUCCCAGUCUAUUCUGACUCUCAUGGAAGGUAUCCCACCUCUUCCACCUCAAGGUGUACUAAAAUUAAAGUCUUCUAAACUAAUUGAUUAUGAGCAACUAGAAAAGUUGUGUGAAAUCAAAGGCCUUAAAGCUGGAAAAGGUGCUCAGAGCACCAAAGAAGCACACGAAAACUUCAUGAAACAUUAUAAAAAAAUAUUUCAGAAAGAAAAGAGGAUCUUGCCUUACCUCCCAACAUCUCCAGCCAAAAUGGCAUCCUUUGCACGUCCUGGAGCUGGUCCCAUGGAUGACAACUUUCACAAUAUUGGCUUUUAUAUUAGAGACAUUCAUUGCCAAACAUCUGCAGAGCUUGCACUCCAGUUCAAGGACAAGUUGGAAGAAUUCAUUACUGUCUUGAAGAAACUGUACGCAAGGUGGUGGUGAAGAACAGAACACAGAAGUACUGUAGGAGGUGGAAGAUGAAAACCAUUGAGACAUCAAAGUCAACAAGAGGAUACAUCUCUAACCUCUACCCACCCCUACCCCUCAAAUUCCCCAUUGCCUCUGAGAACCACCAAAUCAGACUUGCAUUUGUUCUCAAAUUUUACGGUAGUGCCCUUUAUUAAAAAGAGUUUUCAAAGAUAAGAGUAGCUA
rnacentral:lncRNA from 1 species